AUGGAUCUAAGCCCAUCGGUGACAUGCUGGAACGUUCAUGGGCUGAAAAAUCCGGCGAAGUGGAAAGCGGUGAAGGAGUUUUUGGACUCAAUCAAACCUGGCCUUGUGUGCCUUCAGGAAACAAAAUUAGAUGUUGUAGAUGACUUUAUCAUAAUGCAAUGUUGUGGGUCGUCCUUUGACGGCUUUGCCUAUCUCCCAGCUGUUGAAACGAGAGGAGGAAUCAUA
rnacentral:rRNA from 1 species